AAGGGAAUAACAUUUGAAAUGUAAAUAAAAAUAUCCAAAAAGCAAAAGAAUGAAGAUGAAUUUAGCUGUAAUCAAGUAGAAUAAAGAGAAAUCCAUCAGGUAAUUCCCAAAGCUUCUAGCAAAUACCUUGAGUUAGUGAAUCUGAAUAUGUAUAUUAUAUGUCAGCAUUUCACACUGAUGAUUUAGAAGAUUAAAACUGAAACUAUUAUUUAAAGAACAAAAGUAAAAGCAAGCAAAGUAUUCUGGAUUAGGGAAUAUCCCCUAGAUUUUAGAACAUUUGUAUGUACAUAAGGAGACAUCUUAGUUACAGAAUCAAAACGUAGGCACAAAAUACAUUAUGCUUUAUGUACAAUUUUAUAUACAUUCUUGAAAGUAGUUUUCCAAAACACUGUCAUUUACAUCCUGUGGCCAUGGGCCAUCUCAAGUGGUCAGGAGUGAAGUCUUCCACUUGUAGUAUCUACUGUGAAACUAUUUAUUCCAAAUUGAAACAUUGCUGCCUACAUUGAGAAGGGAAGCUUUGUAAGGCUCAGAAAGAGAAUGAAGAAGCUUCAGGAAGCACACUGAACAUUCAAGACUAAUGUGACCCCACCUUAUGUUUAAAUAUGUAGUAGACAAUUGCUGGGAGGAAGGAGGCUGCAUGGUGACAGUCCCUACGGACAUGCAGUCUCGUGUAUCUCUGUUUAUGCUGUUUUGGGUUUUUAGUGAUGUAAACUGGCAGAUCAUUAUGUUUUUCUGUAAGUAAACCAAGAAAUCAAGCUAUUUCAUGAAGCUACUCUUUGCUGUUAUUGGUGACAUACCUGGGAGAGGAUUGUUUUGUCAAGCAACAGGAGCAACUCAAUAGAAGUCAGAGGGAUCCGUGAAAUUUCACGGAUCUCUGGGUACUAUUAGUUAACCAUAACUAUUGACAAAAGAGUAAUAUUUUUUCAAUACCACAGCCACAGAUAGAUUUCCCAUAUUCCAGCAAUUAACUUUCUAUCUACACUCAGGCAAGAAAUUCUAAUUAAACUUAAUGGGCUAUAUACAAAAAGAGCACAGGCUAGGAUGAGGUAGACUUCUUCAGAAGAAGGGUGUCAGUGGGAGACAGAGGAACAUGGCAGAUGGACCAGAUGAGAAAGACUAAAAUUCAUGACGUAAACCUUUAAAAUUAUCCCGCAACAAUUAAAAUAUCUCAGCACUGUAUCCAUCCUGUGGUGCUCACUAUGCUGCUAUAUCUUUGUAGGCUGUGCUCAUUAGUUAGAAACAGAAAGCAAGUAAUAAAUGUGUGCCGGGCCAUUUGAUAACGUUGAAAUUUGAAACAAUUUUUUAAGAUUUUUUUUGGAUUUUUCUAUUAAAGGUGUUUAUUUUUCUCCUGUUUCCAGCAGACAGAGACUUCUAUAGAAAGCCACAGCUAAUCCAACUGUAGACUUGUAGAACACGGUUCUAAUGGAUACAUCUAAAGACUCUUUCUGCACCUAGGAUCCAGGAAACAUUGCAGAAGGGGGGAUGGAAAGACUGUAAAAACCAGAGGCCUGGGGAGUUCGCUGUGAAAUUGUGUCUCCUGGUAAUAUCAGAAGCUAAAGCCAUAAAGCCUCACCGACAUGACUGCCCAAAUGUGAGCUAGACCAGGAUGACACCAACAGACGUGACAAAGAGUAUGGGGAAUGAAUGUGGUUGAACUUGCUGAGGAGAGAGCAUAUAGAGUCUGAUGAAGAGUGGGCAUAAAACAAGCCUUGAAAAAUGCCAAAUCCGAAGACUACGGCAGAGAGAGAACAAUGGACUGAAAUAUUAUGAAAGGCAUAAGACGCUUUACUGUGAGUGAAGUCAACCCACAGAAUCAUGAGGAAGAAAUGUCAAUCCGCUGGUUUGGCAAGGGAUACAAUUUACAGACCACAUGAAGCUCAAGAAGAAGGAAAACCAAAUUGUGGAUGCUUCAAUCCUUCUUAGAAGGGGAACAAAAUACGGGAGGAAAUACAGAGACAGAAUGAGUAGCAGAGUCUGAAGGAAAGGCCAUCCAGAGACUGCUUCACCUGGGAAUCCAUUCCAUAUGAAGCCACCAAACCCAGUCACUUUUGCUGAGAAGUGCUUGCUGACAGGAGCCUGGUAUAGCUGUGUCCUGAGAUGCUCUGCCAGAGCCUGACAAAUAUAAAGGUGGACGCUUGCACCCAACCAUUGGAUGAAGCACAAGGUUUCCAAUGGAGGAGUUAAAGAAAGGACUGAAGGAGUCGAAGGGUUUGAAACCUCGUAGGAAGAACAACAAAAAUCAACCAAUCAGACCCCGCCAGAGCUCCCAGGCACUAAACAACCAAAGAGUACAAGUGGGGAGACCCAUGCAUGGCUCUAGCAACAUAUGUAGCAGAGGAUGGCCUUGUCAGGCAUGACAUUGAGGGAGAAGAGGCCCUUGGUCCUGUGAAGGCUAAAUGCCCUAGUGUAGGGGAAUGCUGGGGCCAGGAGGUGGGAGGGAGUGGGUGGGUCGGUGGGGGAGCUACCUCAUAGAAACUGAGAAAGCGGGGGAUGGAAUAGGGGUUUCCAGGAGGGGAAACCAGGAAAGGGGAUAAAAUUUGAAAUGUGAAUAGAGAAAAUAUCCAAUAAAAGAAGAGAAAAAAGGAAA